CCUACGGGUGGCAGCAGUGAGGAAUAUUGGUCAAUGGGCGCGAGCCUGAACCAGCCAAGUAGCGUGAAGGAUGACGGCCCUACGGGUUGUAAACUUCUUUUAUAAGGGAAUAAAGUGAGGCACGUGUGCCCUUUUGUAUGUACUUUAUGAAUAAGGAUCGGCUAACUCCGUGCCAGCAGCCGCGGUAAUACGGAGGAUCCGAGCGUUAUCCGGAUUUAUUGGGUUUAAAGGGUGCGUAGAUGGGUUGGUAAGUCAGUUGUGAAAGUUCGGGGCUCAACCGUAAAAUUGCAAUUGAUACUGGCAGCCUGGAGUACAGGUGAGGUAGGCGGAAUGCGUGGUGUAGCGGUGAAAUGCUUAGAUAUCACGAAGAACUCCGAUUGCGAAGGCAGCUUACUAGACUGAAACUGACGUUGAUGCUCGAAAGUGUGGGUAUCAAACAGGAUUAGAUACCCUAGUAGUC
rnacentral:rRNA from 1 species